GUGUGUGUGUGUGUGUGUGUGUAUUUAGCAGUCUGUGUACUCAGCAGUCUGCUAAAUACAGACAGACUGCUAAAUACACACAGACAGACUG